rnacentral:rRNA from 1 species
UACGGGAGGCAGCAGUGGGGGAAUAUUGCACAAUGGGGGAAACCCUGAUGCAGCCAUGCCGCGUGUGUGAAGAAGGCCUUCGGGUUGUAAAGCACUUUCAGUAGGGAGGAAGGUAGUGUAGUUAACACCUGCAUUAUUUGACGUUACCUACAGAAGAAGCACCGGCUAACUCCGUGCCAGCAGCCGCGGUAAUACGGAGGGUGCGAGCGUUAAUCGGAAUUACUGGGCGUAAAGCGCAUGCAGGCGGCCUGUUAAGUCAGAUGUGAAAGCCCGGGGCUUAACCUCGGAAUUGCAUUUGAAACUGGCAGGCUAGAGUCUUGUAGAGGGGGUAGAAUUUCAGGUGUAGCGGUGAAAAUGCGUAGAGAUCUGAAGGAAUACCAGUGGCGAAGGCCGGCCCCCUGGACAAAGACUGACGCUCAGAUGCGAAAGCGGUGGGGAGCAAACAGGAUUAGAUACCCUGGUAG